rnacentral:rRNA from 1 species
UACGUAGGGAGCAAGCGUUGUCCGGAUUUAUUGGGCGUAAAGAGCGUGUAGGCGGCCAGGUAGGUCCGGUGUGAAAACUCGAGGCUUAACCUCGAGAUGUCAUCGGAAACCAUCUGGCUAGAGUCCGGAAGAGGAAAGUGGAAUUCCUGGUGUAGCGGUGAAAUGCGCAGAUAUCAGGAAGAACACCAAUGGCGAAAGCAGCUUUCUGGGACGGUACUGACGCUGAGACGCGAAAGCGUGGGGAGCGAACAGG